rnacentral:rRNA from 1 species
UACGGAGGAUGCGAGCGUUAUCCGGAUUUAUUGGGUUUAAAGGGUGCGUAGGCGGGAUAAUAAGUCAGCGGUGAAAGUUUUCGGCUCAACCGGAAAAUUGCCGUUGAAACUGUUGUUCUUGAGUGCAGAAGAGGUAGGAGGAAUGUGCAGUGUAGCGGUGAAAUGCAUAGAUAUUGCACGGAACACCAAUUGCGAAGGCAGCUUACUGGGCCAUUACUGACGCUCAGGCACGAAAGCGUGGGGAUCAAACAGGAUUAGAUACCCU